rnacentral:rRNA from 1 species
ACUAACAGGAUUCCCCUAGUAACUGCGAGUGAACCGGGAAAAGCUCAAAUUUUGAAUCUGGCGGUCUUUCGGCCGUCCGAGUUGUAAUCUAGAGAAGCGUCUUCCGCGCUGGACCGUGUAUAAGUUUCCUGGAAUGGAACGUCGUAGAGGGUGAGAAUCCCGUCUUUGACACGGACUGCCAGGGCUAUGUGAUGCGCUCUCGACGAGUCGAGUUGUUUGGGAAUGCAGCUCAAAUAGGGUGGUAAAUUCCAUCUAAAGCUAAAUACAGGCGAGAGACCGAUAGCGAACAAGUACCGUGAGGGAAAGAUGAAAAGAACUUUGGAAAGAGAGUUAAACAGUACGUGAAAUUGCUGAAAGGGAAACGCUUGAUGUCAGUCGCGUCGGCCGGGGAUCAGCCUUGCUCUUUUGCUCGGUGUAUUUCCUGGUCGACGGGUCAGCAUCGGUUUCGACCGUCGGAAAAUGGCUCGAGGAAUGUGGCACUCUUCGGAGUGUGUUAUAGACUCGGGUCGAAUACGACGAUCGGGACCGAGGAACUCAGCACGACCUUCGGGUUUCGGGGCUUCGGCCCACGUCGACGUGCUUAGGAUGCUGGCAUAAUGGCCUUAAGCGACCCGUCUUGAAACACGGACCAAGGAGUCUAACUCGCAUGCGAGUGUUUGGGCGAUUAAAACCCGAGCGCGCAAUGAAAGUGAAAGUCGAGACCUCUGUCGUGGAGGGCACCGACGCCCGGACCCGAGCUUCUGCGAAGGAUCUGCGGUAGAGCAUGCGUGUUGGGACCCGAAAGAUGGUGAACUAUGCCUGAAUAGGGUGAAGCCAGAGGAAACUCUGGUGGAGGCUCGUAGCGAUUCUGAC